rnacentral:tRNA from 1 species
GUUCCGGUAGCUCAGCAGGAUAGAGCAAUAGCCUCCUAAGCUGUAGGUCAAGGGUUCGAAUCCCUUCCGGAACGCCA